UAGUACAUUUUGGCUAGAAUUGUUAUUUGUUAUAUACAGUCAAACCAAAAAUUAUUGAGACAACAGAUAUUAUUUUUUAUUUUUUAAUAGUGGGUGCAUGACACUAUAGUCAUGUAUUAUUAUUAUUAUUUUUAUUAUUAUUAUUAUUAUUAUUAUUAUUAUUAUUAUUAUUAUUAUUAUUAUCAUUAUCAUCAUCAUAAUAAGUAUUUGUGCUUUACAUACUGUAUGUCCUAGAGAUAACAACUUUUGGUCAGAAAUCCCACACAAUAAUCAUUUGCACAUGUCUGUUAGACACCAAAUACCACUAUAAUAAACUAAUUUAGUCAUUAAUUUUAUGCUAAUUUAUUAUAAAUUCAGUUGUGCUUUAAUUACUUUCUAAGGCACUUUGCAAAACAGCUUAUGUCCUAACAUGCUUAGUUUAUGACACACUGAUAAUGUCUUAUCUGAUAAUGUCUGAUGAGUUUUAUAAGUUAAAUCAUGUAUUGUAGCUCUAGGACAACAAAUAGACAGUUGGGAGUAACUAUGACUGAGAUAACUUACAAAGAGGUUAUACAAUUUCAUUCUUAAAAUAAUUUUAUUGAAAAAAUAUUCUUGUAAAAGAUGUUAUUAUUCAUUGUUAUCAUUGUGUAAUGGAAAAUGUAAAUUCAAAAAUAAUUUCUCUGCUGUCAUUAUUUCCAUACAUUGUCUGCUAUUAAUGCUUUCAAACAUGUUAAUAAUAUUUAUUUUAAUUAUGAUGAAGGUACUUGUGGUUUAUUAUAUGGGUGUGGUAAUCUAGUAUUCAAUAAAUUAUUGGGAAAAAUGGUGGCUGCUUGUGUAGCUUUUAUGUUUUCCCUAAUAACCAUAAUUUUGUUAAUGAAGAAGUUCAUAAAGUUGGAAAGUUACAUAAAGUUAAAGCAACACUAUGUAGUUUCCAUGUAAAAAUGACUUACAGCUCCCCCAUGUGGUUGAAAAGCGCAACAGUGCCUGGUAUCAGACACUCUUCUAAAGGCAGGGGGAGGGGCGGGGCUGUGUGCUCUACCCUCCACCGCCACUUUCAGAGUGUGCUUGUAGCAGCUAGGAGGCUGCUCAGGUUGAAGCAACAGUACAAUUUGUCCAGUUUAAAGUUGUUCUAUCACUGAAAUAAUUUUAGAGACAUUAUUUAAAGUUCUGGAUGUGGCAAAUAUAUGGGUCUUAAGGAUGGUCAUGAUCACUGUCUUUCAUGCUUGGGCAUUCAGCACGUUGAGGCAGCGUUCGGGGAGGCUUGAGAACAUGACCCUUGUGGAUUGGUAGAGACAGGUUUUGUACCUCUGGGAACAUCAACCUACCCUUCUGUUGCCAAGCACCACUAAGAUUGCAUCUCCAAAGCUGCAGAAGGAUGAUAUUCACAUCACAGUGUUGAACCAGUUGGCUGGUACGUCCUCCAACUAUCAGCAUCCCAUCCACAGCCAGCAGAGGUGCUGAUGGAGAUGGCAGGCUUGUGUUCUACAACACCCCCGGCAUUUGUCAGUCCUCCCAGUGCAGACUCUAUGUCUUUCACUGCAUCGAGGGGGGGUCAUCUAUUUCUAAGGCCGUUUGGUCUUAAUUCAUUAUUUGUAUUAACUUUAAAAUGUACCUUAUUGAGAAUCACAGAAGAAGAAUGGCUCAUCAGAAAAUCAGUUGUUUGAAUAACACACAUAUGUAUGCCAUAAAAAAAUUUGGUUUUAAUUUUCUUUCAAAAUGUGUUUUCUUUAUGUAAAAUUCUUUUCUACUGAAUAAAUUCAUUUUGGGGGGUGUAAGGGUCAGUGCAAAGUCUUUGAAAUGAUUUUGAGUAGAACCUUGCCACUAGUAUUUGGUUUUGGGGCCAACCGUAAUACUUGUGUUGAAGUUCAUGCAUUUGUGUUUUCUUAGUGUUUUUAGACACUCAUCAAUUACCAGGCCAAGCACAUGUCAUAAAACAGACUGAUGUACUGAAACUUCCUACAUUCUGUUAUUUGCCCAAUAAAGUAAAAUCUCUUUGUUUUCUUUA